CUUCCAGUCCGUACGACAACACGGCGCAUUCCACCUGCAGCGCCACACGGGCGUGUGAUCACUCUGCUGGCUGUGUGGAGCAGGAGGUCUCCACAGAUUGCAGAUACUGUUUUUAAAGGGCCAACUCAAGGAAGGAACAAAGUCCAUUCGCUUUUUCGGCAGACUUGACGCGUCACUGCCGACGCCCGACACAAAGGAUACUCAGCAAUGUUUGACAACGGAUCAAAGUUAUCGACCUUUGGAAUGAAUGAUCAUUAAAAUGAAAAAGAUGACAAGCAUUUAGAUUCAAUCUGAGGUCAUGUGUACCCACGGAAACAACAAAGUUAAGUUCUCUGAAUCCUUCAUUAGUAUUUUCAUUGAAAAGAUUUUUCCGCGAGCUCAAGGUAGAUUCUCCAAACUUGGAAACAGUAUUUGACUAAACCAUCUAACUACAAAUGUCCAUUAGUGGAUGUUUAACCUCAACUUUUAAGCCGACAUAGAACAAAUUCCAUGAACGCAUCAAUAUGGUUCUUCUUAGUAAUCUAUGCAUUUUUUUGGAGCGGAAUUACACUCAAAAUACUUUAAGCGAAACCUCGAGUCGAGUGUAAAAGCAGCAGCAAGUGGUUUUGUGUCUUUUCUUGCAACCACCUUUGUGCUAAGCUAACAGUCUCCUAGCUUUUCAAAUUCAACCGACUGAUAAGAGAGCGGUAUCUUCUUUCCUCCCUUUGCAACCAGGCGAGGAGCCCAGUGUAUUUCCUCCAAUGUUAAAUGUGGUGGAAAUUCUCCCCCGACAUUAAACACUUCGAUCGUCCUCAUGUUGUGGUUUUUAACGUGGCAUUUUUUUUUUCUUCCAAAAGCCUGCGUCUGAAAAAAAUGUUUCAUACGCUCAGAGCGUCGGCGAGGAAAAGUGUUUAUACAGAAGAACAAUGUGACUUACACAAACAUAGGUGUGUUAAAGGUUAAAGGUUGUUAAAGGUUAACGUUGAAGGAUAAUUCCACAUUUCCAACGUCAAGCUCAACCAAAAGAGAGGCGGCACCAAAUGCGGUGUCCUUUCUAACCCUGCAUCUGUUAUUGUUAGAACACCUUCACCAAACAAAACGCACUGUCCGUGUGUCUAGAACCGCUCAAACCGGUUUUGUUUCAUCCUCUGGGAUCUACGAUGUAAAGUGUAUUAAAGAAAAUUAAAUAAUGCUGGUUUGAUAACACCUUAGAUGAUUAAUUCAGCUUUAAAAUUCUGUUUUAUUACAAUAUACGCAAAUUCAUAUCGGC
ensembl:lncRNA